GAUGAAGAACGUAGCGAAAUGCGAUAAGUAAUGUGAAUUGCAGAAUUCAGUGAAUCAUCGAAUCUUUGAACGCACAUUGCGCCCCCUGGUAUUCCGGGGGGCAUGCCUGUCCGAGCGUCAUUACAACCCUCAAGCUCAGCUUGGUGUUGGGCCCCGCCGCCCCGGCGGGCCCUAAAGUCAGUGGCGGUGCCGUCCGGCUCCGAGCGUAGUAAUUCUUCUCGCUCUGGAGGUCCGGUCGUGUGCUCGCCAGCAACCCCCAAUUUUUUUCAGGUUGACCUCGGAUCAGGUAUGGAUACCCGCUGAACUUAAGCAUAUCAAUAAGCGGAGGA
rnacentral:misc_RNA from 1 species